rnacentral:tRNA from 1 species
GCGGCCAUGGCGGAAUUGGCAGACGCGCUAGGUUCAGGUCCUAGUGAGCGCAAGCUCGUGGAGGUUCGACUCCUCUUGGCCGCA